UUAUGGAUUUAUAAAAAUGCUUUAUAUAUUAAAGAUAAGAUAUUAACCAUAUGCUAUCUUCUCACUGCUGCAAAAAAAUAUUUCUGCCAACUAGAUAUGCUUAACUUUAAAGUUUUAGUUAAGCGUAUAUAUUCUUUAUUCUUUGCAUGAAUAUACAUGUUUUGUUGCUUUUAUACUUGGUAAAUUCUUAGUAAUAUCCCAUCAUCACAAAAAGAGCCACCUAUUUUUUUCUAUUUCUCUUGUUUACAUUAAAAAAAAAAAAACCUCUCUAGAACCAUCUGGAAUUUAUUAAGGUCCAUGAUAUAACAUGGGGAUUCUAUUUUUUCUCUGAAGAGUUAGUCAACUAUUUCACACCUUUAUUUACUCUUUCUUUGUAAUGAUCUCUAACUUAUAUCACAGCACUUUUACCCUGGCAUCUGUUUCUGUUCCAUUGACUUGUCUGUCUGAGCUGUCUGAGCUGAGCUGGUGCCUUUAUGCCAUCAUACUAAACCCAGGAGUUUUCUGAUAGAAUCUUGUAGGGCAAAUCUCUUCUAAUUUCUUUAAAAAACAAAACAAAACUCUAGCCAUCUCACAUGUUUAUUUUUCCAGCUAAGUUUGAGACUCACUUUGUUUAAAACUUUUUCUUUCAAUUAUAUGCAAAUUUAAGAAUAAUGACACUUUGACAAUAUUCUACAUUUUCGUGCAUGAACAUGGGUCAUCUUCCUGUUCUGCAUUUCUGUGAUAGUUCUUGUUCGGUGCUCACGUUUCAAGUACAAAUUCUGGGGUCUCUCAAGGGCGAGAAGCAGUGAUGAAAAAUUCUGAGCUCAUAAAGCAUACUACACAAAAAAUGGCCAAGCGGUGGGAGAAGCACAAAAGAUUAAAUUUCACAAAGCCAAGAGGAUUUUUACAUUUUGAAACGCUCCAUGAAUGGUUAUGAAAAUGUGUCUCCCUGACUCUGACUCAUGAGCCUUGGUGUUAAAAUCCUAGUUCUAGCACAUUUAAGAAAUGAGGGCUGUGAUCACCAUACCACCUUGUACGUAUUUCUUACCUCUUCCUAAAACCUCGAUGUUAAUUUGGCACUGGCGACCACUAGCAAAAUAUGCCUAAGUAUUGGCCCCAUCCUUUUUUCCAUUAGGUUACUUAACUCCAUUGCAGAUAUGUGGAAACACAGCCUGGCUUCAAUUUGCAUCUGAGAUGGGGUGUGUUUGUAUUUUUACUCUUGGUUUAAAUUGCAAAUAAACUAUUACACGUGGGAAUGUGCCCCGGGAUGUGGUCGGUCAACUUCAUGCACCCUCUGCAUCUGCAUCAGGAAACAACUCUAGCUGUUGACUUCAAGGUGAUAUUCAAAAUCAUGCAGAAGGAAAAGAAUUCCUCCUUAAUUCUCAAAAGGGAUACGUCCUUAAAGUCCAGCUGCCCAGGUCAGUAGGCACUAACUAAAAGGGCAAUUCCACCACCACAGGAAAAGCUGCAGCCCGCAGAGAACACGGGCCACACCCCCGCCACGAGCAUGCCAGGGAACACGGAAACUCAACACUAUGACAAACAGACUUUGGAACCAUCGCGUUGGUCUCUCCUUUGCAACUCAAAGACUGGACUAGCAUGAGCACUUGUGAACAUCCUGCCCUAACAGAGACUGAAACGAGGAAUCAAAUGAGAUGAUUUGAAAAGUGCCCCAGAAAGUACAUUUGGGCCUGAGUACAUGAUCUCCAUUAAUCCUCAAAACAGGCUGGGGAGGUUACCGUCCUCUUCCUUCAGAUGAGAAACUGAAACUCAGAGGGGUUAAGAAACUUGCCCGGGGUGAAACAGCUGCUAUGAAUUACAGCUGGUUUCAAACCCAAGUCUAUUGGUUCUGAAGCUCAUGACCGUGACCUGUGUCUAUACAGCUUGCUCAUCUCAGGAAGGGAGAAGAAACCCUUGCGAAUAGAAGAAUCCUUUUGUGAAAGAGCAGCUGUUUGCUUCCUAACAGAAUGUUGAGGACAAUGCAAAGUGAACCAGGCUCCCGGUGGCUGGGCUAAGCCUUCGGGCCUCAGCUCUGGUCAGCAGACUGGCUGAGGGUCCAACCUGUGACACUCAGCAUGAGUGGCCUGCACAACCCAACCCAAAGCCUCUGCGCCUCCUUGGGUUCAAAGUCUGGGUUAGGGUUGAAGCCACUGCUGCUUACCAGUGUAGAAGAUUCUGUCCACCAAUUAACCUUCCGGGCUCCAUAACUAGGGUUGCAAUGAGGUGUUCUAGGCACACACAUUCUGUGUUCAAGCUCUGUAUGGAUUUAAGAGGAAAAAUCUCUCUCCAAUUCUCUAUUGAAUGUUUCUCAGGCCUGCAGGAAACAGCAGUAAUUAGGAGCCGUAUGUCUGGCCCCCAGCAGUCUGGCACCCUCUCCAUGGUGAGCUGGGAAAACGUCCAUAAUGCUCCCAAGCAGAUUUUCUGGGGGAUGGUUCCCUUUAGUUAUAAUUGAAAGGACUUGGAGCUUCCCAAUUUGGGUGACUGGCAAAAUGGUGGAGCCAUAGUGGACUCUAUCUCCAUUCCAAUAAAACAUGAAAACUCACAAAGGUGAUUACAACAAGCGGAUAACUAGGAGACCCCACUGCUGUCUCUCAGAGACUCUGGUUGACUAUAAGCUCAGUCCUUCAACCCCAGGAGGGAGCUCCUUGGGGUGUGAGGUGACCACACUGCACUGGAAUCAUUUGGGGCCACCCAGUCUGGCAUCUCCUGGCACUUUGUCCCUGGUUGGACAAGAGAGUCACGCCCAUCCUGGGGAGGGGCCCCCCUGGGACCCUCACCUGCAUCAAGAAGUCACUUUCCUGUGAGUGAGUUCUGUGCCCAGCAAGGUCGGGUACAUAGCAGGUGCUCAAAAGCAUGCUUGGGACAUUGAAUCAAGUUUCUCAGCACUCCCAAAUCUCUCUGAAUCUGAAGACAGUACCGGGUUAGACACACUUAUCCUAAGGAAUGGUACUUCUCAACUUACAGAACUGGGCACACGGUCGAUGAGACAUCGAUUAUUUCAGCCAUGUGUGCUCACUAGGGGGUAAGAUUCUUUUCCACUUUGUACGACAAAACAAAACACUAAGGCUUUGAUGCUGGCAUGUUGGUCUUUUUCUUUUGGGUGGAUUCCUUCUUGCAAGCGUUUCCUGCCCCACUUUAAUCUGAUACCCACAGCACUUGUUAUUGGAAGAAGUUUUGGCUGUUUGUGUCCAAAACAUCAGACUACUGAGCACAUUAUUGGGCGAACUGGAAAACGACUUGGAUCCUUCUGAGGAGCACUCCAGAUGUGUUACUGCCCUUCAGUGGGGCCCAGCCUUCUGUCCCUGGUGGUAUUGAGCUGGAGCCACAGGCAUGUAGCAGAUGCCACGUUACCAAGACAUCCCAUGGCUGGAUGAGACGUGGAAGCCACUAGCCUUGUUUACUCUGAAGUCUGACCUAUGGAUUAAGAAUUCGGAUAACACUCCCACCCACCGUCAUCACCUCUGGAAAACAAAACCCAGAAAGGUAAAAACUGUAGAUGUAGGUGAUUAUUUGGAUCCUAAGAAAAAAAGGGAGUCAGAGAAAAGAGGAGUCUAUAACCACGAAACCAUAAUUGGGGCCCCCAAAAAGCUACCGUAUGUCAAGAGAAGUCAGAUACUGACAACAGAGUCUUUUUAAAUGGAAAAAUAUUGGCACUUUAAAAGCAUCUGCUAAUAUUUCUUAAGGGUUAGGGACUAGCAGGAAUCUUGGGCUGAAGAGAGGGAACUGUGUAGCAGAACCCUCAUGAAACUGAUUUCAGUUUUAUGAGGAAUUUAGUUACAGUUUUUGACUCUGCACGAUUAAAACCAACGCUUCAGCCAAAAAUGUAUUUGGGAUUUAACCUUUUCUUUUGGAAAAACAUCUUAAAAGUGACGUACCCUCGUCACUUAAAAGCUGUGAAACUUUAUUUUAACAAUAUGAUGGGGCCCACUUUCAACCAAAGCAAAGUUAAUGGUAAUACGGUCUAAGAUCAAGACUAAUAACACAUGUGGUUUGGUAUCUGCUUAUAGACACUCUGGGAAUUGUGGGGUCUUUGUUGAUAGCCAUGGGGACUGAUUCUGGGUUGGUGAAAGUAAGCUAAUCGUCCACGGUCGAUGCCAGGAACAAGCUCACAUGCCCUAUUAUAGUUAGGCAGACAAUAUUCUAUGCUGUAACGUGGAAGUCUAGGUGUGGGGCCGAGCCGGAAAUUGCCCUGAACAAACACAAGCUUUCGUCACCACUUGGAGCAUGAGCUGGAUAUUAUAUUCUGGCUCCAAAGAAGAUGGCCGAGCUCAGUCCACCAGGCCAGUUCAAUGGUCCUUCUGGUCAUUCCCCAUCAGGCCAGGCCUGUCUGUGUCAAGACUCACGCCCAUGGGCCUUGCUCUUCUGUGGUAGGGCUUCCAGUCCAGCUGGAUGGGCAUGGGGCCAGUGAGCAGGCGCUCCCAGAGCCCAGCCAUUGGAAAGGGCGGGUGUGGAACGCGAGCGUGGGAGGCCUGUGGAGCUGGCCUUACACCUAGACUGGGAUUUUCACUGUUUGGGGGCGUUGGGAACAUCUGUGCAAAUCUGAAAGUACUUUGCUUCCAGAAAAAAAGGCAGGCACACCAGAUAUUUUCAUACUGAUUGGCUGGGGAUGGGCCAGUGUAAGGAGUCCCUGAAAACCACGUGGUGUUUAUUUCAGGUUAAGAACCAUUCCCAUGGGCAGAACAGAUAGUCCUCGAAAUGGUAUGGUUUUCUGGUGCUCGUGGAAACCCACACCUCUACAAAAAGCCCUUGUUCUUCGCAGCCUGGCCCAUGCUUGGAUUUGCCAUGAACAAUUUCUCCCUUGAAGUGGACUAACAGCCGCAGGAGGAGCCCAUUAAACCACAGGCAGCAGGGUGUGCGGUGGUUACGUUCCGAAUCCUGGUGCUCAGGACCUAGGGUGAGCGACUGGGAUAAAGAGCCUAUUACCACUCGCCAAGGCAAUCAAGAUCUCAGCCUCUGUCCCAGUUGCUGAUGUGAUAAUGGAAAGAAGUGCCAAAGACGUAAAAUAAUGAAUUGGCUUAAUGACCAACUGACGGUCACAUCCUCUCCUUUUAUUGCCAGUGCACUCAACUGAGAUGAAUAAAGCAACACAGCUCCUCCUGAAAAGCUCUUUAAAAUCACGUUGACUUUAUAUAUAACAGAAUGCAAGUGAAAUGAUCAUUUUCUAAGGAAUCUCCUCACAAAAUAGGGAUGUCAUCUAUAUCUCUUUAUUCUUCAGUGUACUCAUCUGCAAAAUGGGAAUAAUGAAAGUGCCUAUGCCAUUGGGGUGUUCUGACGAUGAAAUUAGAAAGUCCACACAGAAUGCUUUCAAUAUUAAUUCCAUAACUUUUUGUUGAAUAUUCACAAUGUGCAAAGCACGGUUCUAGGAGUUACUGCUAUUGUCGUGAUUGUUAGAAAUGGCCCUGGGCAGCACAAGUUGUGUUACUGUCAGCUGUUAAUCCCUUCCCACAUCUAGAAUUAUUUAUCAGGACUCUGAGGGAGUGCGCCACAAACCAUGGGUCUUUUUUAAAGAGGCUGCUUCAGGUGGCAAGGUCUAUGAGCACAGAGAGGGCAAUUCAGGGUGUGGGAAUGGCAUGCAGGGGUCCUGGAAGGCUGGAGGCAGGCACCGGGGCGGGGGUGGGGGGCGAUUUAACUAGAAGGAUGCAGCAGGAGGAUGCAGAAGAGAGACUCCCUUUGCUCACAGUGAGGAAGGUCCAUUCUGGCCAUGGUGAAGCACGAGUGAGAGAGGGACCUGGGUCUCUAGGUAUGGGAGGGAACGACCCCUGAAGAGGCUUCCAGACUGUGGUUCGUGCAUUUCCCAAUGUCCAGAGACCACGAGCAAUACUCUCCAUCAUUGCGGAUGGUCUUCAGGACGGACCUGAAGGCGGGGAAUGGGGCUCCCCAGGAAGAGGGAGACACCCUCCACAAGAGCAAGGAGCAUGGACUAGGGGCCCCGCUGCAGGAAUGUCCCAGCCCCAGGUCUUUCCUUGGCUCUGAACCUUGGGAUGCCAGAAAGAGUCAGCAGCCAAAUUAUGCAGGUUUAUGCUCCUAUCUCUGUGCCUUUCUCUCUGCUCUCCUGCAGGACCAGAUCUAGCUCACUGGGCUGGAGGUCCAAGGGGAAGCUUUCUUUGCCUGCUAUUGAACCAGGUGGGCACAACCCUUCCCAGAGCGGAGCACAGAGGCCUCAGUGCAAGGAGGAACUCAGCUACAGAGAUAAGUCUCACGACUAUCAAAUGGGUUAAUGUGUAUAAAGCGCUCACAUGCUGCCUGGCCCAUGCGUAGCAAGUGCGAAAUCGGUGUUUGUUAAACCAGUGACCCAGUUGCUUCUCCUCAUCAGGAAAUUUCCUUCCUGGGAAUGAUGGGCUCUACUUAUGUUUUACCAAAGUAGGUGACAUUUCUGUACAACUGUUCCCCACGAGGCUUUACGGGACCAUCAGAGACAGGAUCCCAGAGCAAGAGGAAUGUUGGGCAUAAUUCAUUCAUUGGGUCAAAGAACAUCUCUACUACAGCAUGUUAGUGAGACGGCUGAAAAACGUAUUCAGGUCACGGAAAAAGAAU
rnacentral:lncRNA from 1 species